GACGAACGCUGGCGGCGUGCUUAACACAUGCAAGUCGAACGGAAAGGCCCUGCUUUUGUGGGGUGCUCGAGUGGCGAACGGGUGAGUAACCCGUGAGUAACCUGCCCUUUACUUUGUGAUAACUUCAGGAAACUGGGGCUAAUACCGGAUACGAGCUCCUGCUGCAUGGUGGGGGUUGGAAAGUUUCGGCGGUUGGGGAUGGACGCGCGGCUUAUCAGCUUGUUGGUUGGGUAGUGGCUUACCAAGGCUUUGACGGGUAGCCGGCCUGAGAGGGUGACCGGCCACAAUGGGACUGAGAUACGGCCCAGACUCCUACGGGAGGCAGCAGUGGGAAAUAUUGCACAAUGGGCGGAAGCCUGAUGAAGCAACGCCGGGUGCGGGAUGACGGCCUUCGGGUUGUAAACCGCUUUAGCCUGUGACGAAGCGUGAGUGACGGUAAUGGGUAAAGAAGCACCGGCUAACUACGUG
rnacentral:rRNA from 1 species